UCCCCAAUGGUCUAGUGGUUAAGACUCUACACUCCAACUGUAGGGGGCACGGGUUCAAUCCCUGGUUGGGGAA